ACGGGGGAUGCAGGCGUUAUCCGGAUUCAUUGGGUUUAAAGGGUGCGUAGGCGGAUUUAUAAGUCAGAGGUGAAAUCCGGCAGCUUAACUGUCGAACAGCCUUUGAUACUGUAGAUCUUGAAUGCAGUUGAGGUAGGCGGAAUGUGUAGUGUAGCGGUGAAAUGCUUAGAUAUUACACAGAACACCGAUUGCGAAGGCAGCUUGCUAAACUGUGAUUGACGCUGAGGCACGAAAGCGUGGGGAUCAAACAG
rnacentral:rRNA from 1 species